GUUUGAUCAUGGCUCAGGAUGAACGCUGGCGGCGUGCCUAACACAUGCAAGUCGAGCGAUUCUCUUUUGAGAAGAGCGGCGGACGGGUGAGUAACGCGUGGGUAACCUGCCCUGUACACACGGAUAACAUACCGAAAGGUAUGCUAAUACGGGAUAACAUAUUUUGAUGGCAUCAUUGAAAUAUCAAAGCUCCGGCGGUACAGGAUGGACCCGCGUCUGAUUAGCUAGUUGGUGAGGUAAUGGCCCACCAAGGCGACGAUCAGUAGCCGACCUGAGAGGGUGAUCGGCCACAUUGGAACUGAGACACGGUCCAAACUCCUACGGGAGGCAGCAGUGGGGAAUAUUGCACAAUGGGCGAAAGCCUGAUGCAGCAACGCCGCGUGAGCGAUGAAGGCCUUCGGGUCGUAAAGCUCUGUCCUCAAGGAAGAUAAUGACGGUACUUGAGGAGGAAGCCCCGGCUAACUACGUGCCAGCAGCCGCGGUAAUACGUAGGGGGCUAGCGUUAUCCGGAAUUACUGGGCGUAAAGGGUGCGUAGGUGGUUUUUUAAGUCAGAAGUGAAAGGCUACGGCUCAACCGUAGUAAGCUUUUGAAACUGAGAAACUUGAGUGCAGGAGAGGAGAGUAGAAUUCCUAGUGUAGCGGUGAAAUGCGUAGAUAUUAGGAGGAAUACCAGUUGCGAAGGCGGCUCUCUGGACUGUAACUGACACUGAGGCACGAAAGCGUGGGGAGCAAACAGGAUUAGAUACCCUGGUAGUCCACGCCGUAAACGAUGAGUACUAGGUGUCGGGGGUUACCCCCCUCGGUGCCGCAGCUAACGCAUUAAGUACUCCGCCUGGGAAGUACGCUCGCAAGAGUGAAACUCAAAUGAAUUGACGG
rnacentral:rRNA from 1 species